rnacentral:tRNA from 1 species
GGAGGGGUGGCAGAGCGGUCGAAUGCGGCAGCCUUGAAAGCUGUUGACCGGGUUCCCCGGUCCGGGGGUUCGAAUCCCUCCCCCUCCG